AUGAAGCUUAAUGCUUCUCCGGGUCCGGAUAGAUUUAAUGUUGAAUUUUAUUUGGCGGCCUGGGAGUGGAUAGGAGAGGAAGUCACUCAGCUUGUGGUAAGCUUUUAUCAAACUGGUAUCUUACCUCCGAAAAAGUUAGUGCCUCAGGUUCCUAUGGAUUAUCGCCCUAUUAGUCUUUGUAAUGUCAUUUAUAAAAUCAUUGCUAAAUCAUUGGCUAAUAGGAUUAAACCUCAUCUUCCUGAUUAUAUUGAUCCUGCUUAG
rnacentral:rRNA from 1 species